CUAGUUGUGGCCGAGUGGUUAAGGCAAUGGACUAGAAAUCCAUUGGGGUCUCCCCACGCAGGUUUGUAUCCUGCCGACUACA